UACGGGGAGUCGAGCCGCGGCAGAGCCCAGCUAAACGCGCGCAUUCAGCGGGAGAUCGUUGUCGUCUCCGCGGCGCUGAUGGAGAGAAGAGGAGAGCGACGCCGAAGCGCUCGCGCGGGGGGGAAGCUGCGCGUGAGCGUGCGUCGACACCCGCGAGUCCACCGCGCGUGUUGUUCUGCCUCGGCGGUGGAGCGGCGAGCCGUUGACGCCACCGAAGAAAACCGUUUGUUUCGCCCGUUUAACGUGCCGCGCGGGCAGCUGUGUUCGAGGAGGUGAAGUUGAAGAUCAAGGACCUGAACGAACACAUCGUCUGCUACCUGUGCGCGGGCUACUUCAUCGACGCCACGACAAUUACGGAGUGUUUGCACACCUUCUGUAAAAGUUGCAUCGUGAAAUACCUGCAGACGAGCAAGUACUGUCCGAUGUGCAACAUCAAAAUCCACGAAACGCAGCCUCUACUCAACCUCAAGCUGGACCGAGUGAUGCAGGACAUCGUCUACAAGCUGGUGCCUGGACUCCAAGAAAGUGAAGACAAGAGAAUAAAGGAGUUUUAUCAGACGCGUGGGUUGGAGCGAGUCAUCCAGCCUACCGGGGACGAUGCGAUACCCGAUGCCACCGGCCUCCCGUACACGAGCUUCGACCAUUCCAAAGCCCAUUUCUACAGAUACGACGAGCAGGUGUCGCUGUGUUUAGAACGGCUCAGUUCAUCGCUGGCUGGGAAAGACAAAACGAAACUCGCUCUUCAGCAGAAGUUCGUCCGCUGUUCGGUCCGAGCGGAGGUGAGACACCUGAGGAGAGUCCUGUGCCACCGGCUGAACGUGGAGAAGCACCAGGUCGGUCCCCGAGGAGAGGAGACGCCAUGGCGCUCACCUUUUGUCAAUAUCAAAAAAAACUCGCCGUGUUCCUCCGGCCGCUCGGCUCCGAGGGGCGUUCAAGUACCACGCGGGUGUUUUUCCAUCACCGUGACGACGCCGUCGGUUUGGAUCGUCACGCCGCGAAAAAAAGCCUUCCGCGGUUCCACGUCGAAUGUUUUACGGCUUUUCUCGCGUGUACAAAAAUUACAAUAAUGGCAGUUGCUCCUCCUCCUCCUCCUCCUCCUCAUGACAUCUGUUUGUGGUCUCCCUCCAGGUCCAGAUGCUGUUCAAUAACGAGUCUCUGCCCGAUCACAUGACCAUGAAGCGGCUAUGGCUCUCGCACUGGUUCGGCAAGGCCCAGCCGUUGGUUCUUCA